rnacentral:rRNA from 1 species
CAAGUCGAACGGCAGCACGGGAGCAAUCCUGGUGGCGAGUGGCGAACGGGUGAGUAAUAUAUCGGAACGUGCCCAGUCGUGGGGGAUAACGCAGCGAAAGCUGUGCUAAUACCGCAUACGAUCUACGGAUGAAAGCGGGGGAUCGCAAGACCUCGCGCGAUUGGAACGGCCGAUAUCAGAUUAGCUAGUUGGUGGGGUAAAAGCCCACCAAGGCGACGAUCUGUAGCUGGUCUGAGAGGACGACCAGCCACACUGGAACUGAGACACGGUCCAGACUCCUACGGGAGGCAGCAGUGGGGAAUUUUGGACAAUGGGCGCAAGCCUGAUCCAGCAAUGCCGCAUGCAGGAUGAAGGCCUUCGGGUUGUAAACUGUUUUUGUACGGAACGAAACGGUUCGCUUUAAUACAGUGGGCUAAUGACGGUACCGUAAGAAUAAGCACCGGCUAACUACGUGCCAGCAGCCGCGGUAAUACGUAGGGUGCGAGCGUUAAUCGGAAUUACUGGGCGUAAAGCGUGCGCAGGCGGUGAUGUAAGACAGAUGUGAAAUCCCCGGGCUCAACCUGGGACCUGCAUUUGUGACUGCAUCGCUAGAGUACGGUAGAGGGGGAUGGAAUUCCGCGUGUAGCAGUGAAAUGCGUAGAUAUGCGGAGGAACACCGAUGGCGAAGGCAAUCCCCUGGACCUGUACUGACGCUCAUGCACGAAAGCGUGGGGGAGCAAACAGGAUUAGAUACCCUGGUAGUCCACGCCCUAAACGAUGUCAACUGGUUGUUGGGUCUUCACUGACUCAGUAACGAAGCUAACGCGUGAAGUUGACCGCCUGGGGAGUACGGCCGCAAGGGUUGAAACUCAAAGGAAUUGACGG